rnacentral:rRNA from 1 species
GGGGAGAGCGUAUCGGAUACUGGGCGUAAGCGCACGCAGGCGGUCUGUCAAGUCGGAUGUGAAAUCCCCGGGCUCAACCUGGGAACUGCAUUCGAAACUGGCAGGCUAGAGUCUUGUAGAGGGGGGUAGAAUUCCAGGUGUAGCGGUGAAAUGCGUAGAGAUCUGGAGGAAUACCGGUGGCGAAGGCGGCCCCCUGGACAAAGACUGACGCUCAGGUGCGAAAGCGUGGGGAGCAAACAGGAUUAGAUACCCUGGUAGUCCACGCCGUAAACGAUGUCGAUUUGGAGGUUGUGCCCUUGAGGCGUGGCUUCCGGAGCUAACGCGUUAAAUCGACCGCCUGGGGAGUACGGCCGCAAGGUUAAAACUCAAAUGAAUUGACGGGGGCCCGCACAAGCGGUGGAGCAUGUGGUUUAAUUCGAUGCAACGCGAAGAACCUUACCUGGUCUUGACAUCCACAGAACUUAGCAGAGAUGCUUUGGUGCCUUCGGGAACUGUGAGACAGGUGCUGCAUGGCUGUCGUCAGCUCGUGUUGUGAAAUGUUGGGUUAAGUCCCGCAACGAGCGCAACCCUUAUCCUUUGUUGCCAGCGGUCCGGCCGGGAACUCAAAGGAGACUGCCAGUGAUAAACUGGAGGAAGGUGGGGAUGACGUCAAGUCAUCAUGGCCCUUACGACCAGGGCUACACACGUGCUACAAUGGCAUAUACAAAGAGAAGCGACCUCGCGAGAGCAAGCGGACCUCAUAAAGUAUGUCGUAGUCCGGAUUGGAGUCUGCAACUCGACUCCAUGAAGUCGGAAUCGCUAGUAAUCGUAGAUCAGAAUGCUACGGUGAAUACGUUCCCGGGCCUUGUACACACCGCCCGUCACACCAUGGGGAGUGGGUUGCAAAAGAAGUAGGUAGCUUAACCUUCGGGAGGGCGCUUACCACUUUGUGAUUCAUGACUGGGGGUGAAUCUAAGGGGGAGACCCCCCAGAUAUAAAAAGGGGUUUUUUAAAAAAAACCCCGGGGGUAAAGG